rnacentral:rRNA from 1 species
GACGAACGCUGGCGGCGUGCUUAACACAUGCCAGUCGAACGAAGAGCGAUGGAAGCUUGCUUCUAUCAAUCUUAGUGGCGAACGGGUGAGUAACGCGUAAUCAACCUGCCCUUCAGAGGGGGACAACAGUUGGAAACGACUGCUAAUACCGCAUACGAUCCAAUCUCGGCAUCGGGACUGGAUGAAAGGUGGCCUCUAUUUAUAAGCUAUCACUGAAGGAGGGGAUUGCGUCUGAUUAGCUAGUUGGAGGGGUAACGGCCCACCAAGGCGAUGAUCAGUAGCCGGUCUGAGAGGAUGAACGGCCACAUUGGGACUGAGACACGGCCCAGACUCCUACGGGAGGCAGCAGUGGGGAAUCUUCCGCAAUGGACGAAAGUCUGACGGAGCAACGCCGCGUGAGUGAUGACGGCCUUCGGGUUGUAAAGCUCUGUUAAUCGGGACGAAUGGUUCUUGUGCGAAUAGUGCGAGGAUUUGACGGUACCGGAAGAGAAAGCCACGGCUAACUACGUG